rnacentral:rRNA from 1 species
AUUGAACGCUGGCGGCAGGCCUAACACAUGCAAGUCGAGCGAGCGGCGGACGGGUGAGUAAUGUAUGGGGACUGCCCGAUAGAGGGGGAUAACUACGGGAAACGGUAGCUAAAACCGCAUACUAUAGGAUACCCCAUAUGGGAGUAGCUAGUAGGUGAGGGAAUGGCUCACCUAGGCGACGAUCCCCAGCUGGUCUGAGAGGAUGAUCAGCCACACUGGGACUGAGACACGGCCCAGACUCCUACGGAGGCAGCAGUGGGGAAUAUUGCACAAUGGGCGCAAGCCUGAUGCAGCCAUGCCGCGUGUAUGAUGAAGGCCCUAGGGUUGUAAAGUACUUUCAGUCGGGAGGCGUUACCGACAGAAGAAGCACCGGCUAACUCCGUGCCAGCAGCCGCGGUAAUAC